AAACCUGCUCCUCCAAAGUGUCUGGGAAGCGGCGAGGUACCAAGGUGGCUGGAUUUCCAGACUGUUGAGUGUGCAGGCGGCGUGUCUCCAAGGUCAUCCAUCACCUGUGAGUUUCUGCUAAGUGAGAAAAGCUAGCACACCAUUCUCUCACCUUCUCCAUCCUGGAGCUGAAGCAGAGAAAAAUAAAUACCACUCCAUCUCAAGGCAGAGAAAAUACCACACUCCAUCCCAAGGCCCUGUGACACAUGCAAUUAGAUGCCUUUCCCCAGGCUCUUGGAUUUUCACUCGGAGUUGGCUGGAUGGAGCUGAGACUUCAUGGACAGAAUGUCUGGGGCUGGAGAAGUUGAAGCACAUACUCCAUGAUGACUGUGUCUUCAAUAGGAACCAUCUGACUGUGUGCCAGCAACCUGAGGGCUUUCUUCAUGAGGCUAAUUCUCUAGUCUGCCAAUCUCUCUCUCUCUCUCUCUCUCCUCCCUCCUUCCCCUCCUUUCUAUAUAAAUAAUCCAGUGUUGGCUUCUUCAUCUGGAGAAACAAUAGCUCUUUCACACUCUAUAUGUUAACAUGAGUAUGAUAUGAGAAUGAUAUUAUGUGAGAAGAAAAGUUGAUUCUGGAUUUGGUGCGGUUCUAGAUCAUUCUUAUGGUUUGAGUGUGAGUAUGGUUUGGUAGUGUGGAACGUUUAGGAGGUGGGGCCUAGAGGAAGUGAAUCUCUGAGAACUCCCAGCUUAUCUCCCUCGGCUCCCUGACUGCUAAGGCCCUGUAACUAGUCACUGGUCACUACCUCAGUUAUGGCUGUGAGCAGCUCCUGUCUCCAUGAUGAACUGUAUCCUCUGAACCAGGAGUCAGAAUAAAUCCUUCCUUGUU
ensembl:antisense C030017D09Rik RIKEN cDNA C030017D09 gene